rnacentral:rRNA from 1 species
GUGAGGAAUAUUGGGCAAUGGGCGAAAGCCUGACCCAGCCACGCCGCGUGAGUGAUGAAGGCCUUCGGGUUGUAAAGCUCUGUGGGGAGGGAAGAAAAAGCGGGAGAGUAACUGCUCUCGUGUUGACGGUACCUCCUUAGCAAGCACCGGCUAACUCUGUGCCAGCAGCCGCGGUAAUACAGAGGUUGCAAACGUUGCUCGGAAUUACUGGGCGUAAAGCGCGUGUAGGCUGACAUGCAAGUCGGGUGUGAAAUCCCAGGGCUCAACCUUGGAACUGCACUCGAAACUGCACGUCUUGAGUACUGGAGAGGGAAGCGGAAUUCCGGGUGUAGAGGUGAAAUUCGUAGAUAUCCGGAGGAACACCAGUGGCGAAGGCGGCUUCCUGGACAGUAACUGACGCUGAGACGCGAAAGCGUGGGGAGCAAACAGGAUUAGAAACCCCGGUAGUCC